ACUCCUACGGGAGGCAGCAGUGGGGAAUUUUCCGCAAUGGGCGCAAGCCUGACGGAGCAAGACCGCGUGAGGGAGGAAGGCUCUUGGGUUGUAAACCUCUUUUAUCAGGGAAGAAGAUCUGACGGUACCUGAUGAAUCAGCAUCGGCUAACUCCGUGCCAGCAGCCGCGGUAAUACGGAGGAUGCAAGCGUUAUCCGGAUUUAUUGGGCGUAAAGCGUCCGCAGGUGGUUUUUCAAGUCUGCUGUUAAAGCGCAGAGCUUAACUCUGUAACGGCGGUGGAAACUGAGAGACUAGAGUAUGGUAGGGGUUGCGGGAAUUCCCAGUGUAGCGGUGAAAUGCGUAGAUAUUGGGAAGAACACCAGCGGCGAAAGCGCGCAACUGGGCCAUUACUGACACUCAUGGACGAAAGCUAGGGGAGCGAAAGGGAUUAGAUACCCCCUGUAGUCCUAGCUGUAAACGAUGGGUACUAGGUGUUGACCGUAUCGACCCGGUCAGUGCCGUAGCUAACGCGUUAAGUACCCCGCCUGGGGAGUAUGCACGCAAGUGUGAAACUCAAAGGAAUUGACGGGGGCCCGCACAAGCGGUGGAGUAUGUGGUUUAAUUCGAUGCAACGCGAAGAACCUUACCAGGGCUUGACAUGUCGCGAAUCUCGGUGAAAGUCGAGAGUGCCUUCGGGAGCGCGAACACAGGUGGUGCAUGGCUGUCGUCAGCUCGUGUCGUGAGAUGUUGGGUUAAGUCCCGCAACGAGCGCAACCCUCGUUUUUAGUUGCCAGCAUUUAGUUGGGCACUUUAGAGAGACUGCCGGUGACAAACCGGAGGAAGGUGGGGAUGACGUCAAGUCAGCAUGCCCCUUACGUCCUGGGCUACACACGUACUACAAUGCUUCGGACAAAGGGUUGCGAGCUAGCGAUAGCAAGCUAAUCCCGUAAACCGAGGCUCAGUUCAGAUUGCAGGCUGCAACUCGCCUGCAUGAAGGAGGAAUCGCUAGUAAUCCCAGGUCAGCAUACUGGGGUGAAUACGUUCCCGGGCCUUGUACACACCGCCCGU
rnacentral:rRNA from 1 species